CCUACGGGAUGCAGCAGGCGCGAAACCUUUACACUGCACGACAGUGCGAUAAGGGGACUCCGAGUGCGAGGGCAUAGAGCCCUCGCUUUUCUGCACCGUAAGGAGGUGCAUGAAUAAGGGCUGGGCAAGACCGGUGCCAGCCGCCGCGGUAAUACCGGCAGCCCAAGUGAUGGCCGAUAUUAUUGGGCCUAAAGCGUCCGUAGCCGGCCGGACAAGUCCGUUGGGAAAUCCGCACGCUCAACGUGCGGGCGUCCAGCGGAAACUGUCCGGCUUGGGACCGGAAGACCCGAGGGGUACGUCCGGGGUAGGAGUGAAAUCCUGUAAUCCCGGACGGACCGCCUGUGGCGAAAGCGCCUCGGGAAGACGGAUCCGACGGUGAGGGACGAAAGCCAGGGUCUCGAACCGGAUUAGAUACCCUUGUAGUC
rnacentral:rRNA from 1 species